rnacentral:rRNA from 1 species
AUUGAACGCUGGCGGCAUGCCUUACACAUGCAAGUCGAACGGCAGCACGGGUGCUUGCACCUGGUGGCGAGUGGCGAACGGGUGAGUAAUACAUCGGAACGUACCUUAUCGUGGGGGAUAACGCAGCGAAAGCUGUGCUAAUACCGCAUACGCCCUGAGGGGGAAAGCGGGGGAUCGAAAGACCUCGCGCGAUUAGAGCGGCCGAUGCCUGAUUAGCUUGUUGGUGGGGUAAAAGCCCACCAAGGCGACGAUCAGUAGCUGGUCUGAGAGGACGAUCAGCCACACUGGGACUGAGACACAGCCCAGACUCCGACGGGAGGCAGCAGUGGGGAAUUUUGGACAAUGGGGGCAACCCUGAUCCAGCAAUGCCGCGUGAGUGAAGAAGGCCUUCGGGUUGUAAAGCUCUUUUGUCAGGGGAGAAACAGCAGCUCUAACACAGUCUGCGAAUGACGGUACCUGAAGAAUAAGCACCGGCUAACUACGUGCCAGCCGCCGCGGUAA